rnacentral:tRNA from 1 species
GGUUCGGUAGCUUAGUUGGUAAAGCACUUGUCUAGCGAAUAAGGUUCGUCAAAUCUCACCUGAGCUG